rnacentral:lncRNA from 1 species
AGUAGCCCUCACCGGGCUCUGAACUAGGGGAGUGUGGAUUCUCAAAGAAUUCAUGAAAAUGUUCACAAUGGAGUCUUCUUAUGCAUCUGUUUUCCCUAGAGCAUUCAAUUCAAGCUCAUGAAAUAUCAGGCAAGUAAAAACUGUCCUCUUCUGCUCUCCAUGCCUCAACUCGCAGGGGUCUGAAACUAUAUCAGGUAGAAGAAAUAGAAGCACAAGCUGUAGAAACAAAAGAAGCUAAUUUUGCACCUUCACUGUUUGUGAGCUUCUCAUCUGCAACACUCUUGAAUAGGCAAGAGUGUGAGGCCUCCGUUUUGAAUAAAAUAUAGAAAUUUGACUAUUGAAUGGGACUAAUUGAAUACCUUUCUUUUUUUACUUAAACAUUAUCAGAGAGGUUAUGAAGCCUUCCUGAAUGCUCAUUCAAGGUUGUACAAGAAGCAUGGCACCAGCAUCUGCAUCUGAUGAGGACCUCAGGGUGCUUCCACUUGUGGCGGAAGAAGGGGAGCCAGCAUGUGCAGAUACCACACGGCGAGAGAUGAAGGAAGAGAAAGAGGAGGAAGGUUCCAGGCUCUUUUUAACAAUCAGACCUCACAGGAACUAAUAGUGUGAGAAGAUGUUUAACAUAUUCUAAUAAGAUAUUCCUAAUAAACUGCCAUGAGAUAACUGCUGUA